rnacentral:rRNA from 1 species
UUAGAACGCUGGCGGCAGGCCUAACACAUGCAAGUCGAGCGGUAGAGAGGUGCUUGCAUCUCUUGAGAGCGGCGGACGGGUGAGUAAUGCCUAGGAAUCUGCCUGGUGGUGGGGAUAACGUUCGGAAACGGACGCUAAUACCGCAUACGUCCUACGGGAGAAAGCGGGGGAUCUUCGGACCUCGCGCCAUUAGAUGAGCCUAGGUCGGAUUAGCUAGUUGGUGAGGUAAUGGCUCACCAAGGCGACGAUCCGUAACUGGUCUGAGAGGAUGAUCAGUCACACUGGAACUGAGACACGGUCCAGACUCCUACGGGAGGCAGCAGUGGGGAAUAUUGGACAAUGGGCGAAAGCCUGAUCCAGCCAUGCCGCGUGUGUGAAGAAGGUCUUCGGAUUGUAAAGCACUUUAAGUUGGGAGGAAGGGUAGUAACCUAAUACGUUGCUACUUUGACGUUACCGACAGAAUAAGCACCGGCUAACUUCGUG